AUGUCUGAAAAGCAUAGAAACCUUCCUCCCUGGAUGGUGAAGUCUGACGUUCAAAGAAACAAAGACAAUGAAGCGGUGAAGAAGAAAACGCGUGGUGAAACCACAAAAAGGAUAGCGAAGAAGCAGCUCAAAAGUGUCACGUACUUGAUGAACGAGCAGGAGCUCGUGGAAACGGCACUCCGCCUUUUGAAGGAUGAUGAGGCAUGUGCUAAAGAUGGAAUGCAAGCCCCAGAGGAGCUAAGGAUCAUUCCGGAGACAGAUGAAGACACUUCAGACUCGGACGUGCAGGACAGAACACAUGUUUCAAACAUUGCAGAGCAGGAGACUGUGCCAUAUGGAAACUGCAUGGAAGAAAGUAGCAGCACAAAACCAGCCUGCCAUCUGAAGCCUCCUUCUGAUGUUUCAGGAGCUUCCGAGAAGCAUGAUGCGGAUGAUGAGGCUCUAGAACUUGUGCGAGAGAUUUUUUUUUCCAAAUAAUUUAAACCUGAAGUCACAAAGUUUAGUGCUAGCAAACAUCAUUUUACCAAAUAUUUAAAGAGAUACUUCAUAAUUUAGUCAUCCUCAUGUCACUGCAAUCCUGCCUGUUUUUCUUCUGUGGAGCACAAAAGGUGAUAUUUUGAAGAAUGUCUUGGUCACUCUUUUCCAUUCAGUUACAGCCAAUGCCAGUUUUCAACCUUCAAAAAGGACAACAAAAAUAAUAAUAAUGAUGGCCAAAUAGCUCGGGUUUGGGAUAACAUGAGGGUGAGUAAAUUGUUUUUUGAUGCAUUCUUUCUUUUUACUUUUGUUUCUUUUUAAUAUUGCAAGCUCUGCUUUUCUUCAGGGAAAGAAAAUCUAGUUAUGAUUUGUAUGGGUUUAUUAUUCUGUUGGUUGAUGCCUGAACAAAGGAGAUUUCGGAUUUGUUUUGUAAACCAGCUGAUUCAUUUGCACACUUGCACUUUCUAGAGUCCUUUGAGUAAGACAGCAACAACUAAGAACAAAUGAGAAUGUUCAAUGACAUGUAAGAAUAGAUUGUAUAUUUAUUCAUUUUAAUAAAAAUAUAUAUAUAUAUAUAUUUUUUUUAAAUCAAGAUUUUUAGUGAUUGGUACUUCAACCGGCGUCUAAUGUAAGAGUUAACAGUGUCUGAGGACAAGCUGUCAAAUAUGGAAUCAAGAUUUUA
rnacentral:lncRNA from 1 species